UCCAUCGCCGUCCAGCCCUGGCAGACCUAGCAUUCAUUCGCCGCCCACCUCCACGGCGCGAGAGACAGGAUCGAGCGAGAGCGCCAUGACACCGCUAGGUGCGCAGCAGCUCGCCGCAUCCUUCAGCUCACCGCACGGUGUACAGAUCGAACGUUUGGAAACUCACAAAAUCCACAUCGAAAUAUGUUCUGUGAUUUAUCUAGCACACACCAUUGGAAGCCCAAAAAACCACAAAAUGCAAUAUUACAGAGCUCAGCCAG